CCUACGGGCGGCAGCAGUGGGGAAUAUUGCACAAUGGGCGCAAGCCUGAUGCAGCCAUGCCGCGUGUGUGAAGAAGGCCUUCGGGUUGUAAAGCACUUUCAGCGGGGAGGAAGGCGGUGAGGUUAAUAACCUCAUCGAUUGACGUUACCCGCAGAAGAAGCACCGGCUAACUCCGUGCCAGCAGCCGCGGUAAUAUGGAGGGUGCAAGCGUUAAUCGGAAUUACUGGGCGUAAAGCGCACGCAGGCGGUCUGUCAAGUCGGAUGUGAAAUCCCCGGGCUCAACCUGGGAACUGCAUUCGAAACUGGCAGGCUAGAGUCUUGUAGAGGGGGGUAGAAUUCCAGGUGUAGCGGUGAAAUGCGUAGAGAUCUGGAGGAAUACCGGUGGCGAAGGCGGCCCCCUGGACAAAGACUGACGCUCAGGUGCGAAAGCGUGGGGAGCAAACAGGAUUAGAUACCCGGGUAGUC
rnacentral:rRNA from 1 species